rnacentral:rRNA from 1 species
CAGCCGCCGCGGUAACACGUAGGUGGCAAGCGUUGUCCGGAAUUAUUGGGCGUAAAGGGCUCGCAGGCGGUUUCUUAAGUCUGAUGUGAAAGCCCCCGGCUCAACCGGGGAGGGUCAUUGGAAACUGGGAAACUUGAGUGCAGAAGAGGAGAGUGGAAUUCCACGUGUAGCGGUGAAAUGCGUAGAGAUGUGGAGUAACACCAGUGGCGAAGGCGACUCUCUGGUCUGUAACUGACGCUGAGGAGCGAAAGCGUGGGGAGCGAACAGGAUUAGAUACCCGUGUAGUCCCUGUCUCUUAUAC